rnacentral:rRNA from 1 species
UUUAAUUUUAAUUAAAGAAUUAUUAAUAUUUUAGGAUAAUAAAGAUUUUUUUUAAUUUAAAGAAAUUGGAAUUUAAUUUUUUUGAAAAGUAAAUUUAUAUAUUGUACCUUUUGUAUCAGGGUUUAUUUAAAUUUAAUUUAUUAAACUAAUUUUCUCGAAUUUUAAUGAGAUAAUUUAAUAUGAAAGUUUAUAUGUUAAUAUAAUUUUAAAUUUUAGAUUAUUAGUGAAAUGUUUGAGUAUUAAAAGAUAUCUAGUUUUUUGAAAAAAAAUUUAGUUUAAAUAAUGAUUAAGAUACCAUUAUAUUUUGUUUAUUUCAGUUAUUGUUUUUUUAUGAGGGAUAAACUUCAUAAAUAAUUAAAAUUUUUUUUAGGUUGAAAGAUUUUUUAGGAGUAAAAUUUUUUAUUUUUAGUAAGUUUUUUAUAAAAUAAUUUUUAUAAAAUUAUUGUGAAUUUAAUUGAGUUAAAAAAAAAAUUUUUUAAUUAUUUUAAUAUUUAAAUAUUGAUAAAAUUAGUAAAUAAAUAUUUAUUGUUAAAUAGUUUUUUCUUGUUUAUUUUUAUUUAAUAAUUUGGCAAAUUAAUUUUUACCUGUUUAAUAAAAACAUGUCUUUAAGUUUUUUAUUUAAAGUCAGGUCUGCUCUAUGAUAUUUUAAAUGGCUGCAGUAAUUUAACUGUACUAAGGUAGCAUAAUCAAUAGUUUAUUAAUUGUGAGCUUGUAUGAAUGAUUAAAUAAAAAAUUAACUUUUUUAAUAUAAUAAUUUUAAUUUAAAUUUUAAAUAAAAAUGUUUAAAUUUUAUUAGGGGACAAGAAGACCCUAUAGAUUUUUAUAAAUUUAUUUAAUUAGAUUAUUUUAUUUUUUUUUCUGUUAAAUAAAUUAUUUGGAUGGGAUAUUGAAUUAAUUUAAGAAUUUUUUUUUAUUUUAAACAUUAAUAAGUGAAUAAGGAAAUAAUUUUUUAAUUUAAAUAAAAAUACCUUAGGGAUAACAGCAUUAUAUAUUAUUAAAGAUCAAAUUUUUUAAUAUGUUUGUGACCUCGAUGUUGAAUUAAAAUUUAAUUAAGAUGAAGAAGUCUUAUAUUUUAGUCUGUUCGACUAUUAAAAUUUUACAUGAUUUGAGUUAAGAUCGGUGUAAACUAGAUUGGAUUUUAUCUUUAAUUAAUGAGAAAUUUAUUGUACGAAAGGACUUAAAAUUUUUUAAAAUUUAAAUUAUUAGGAGAUUAAUUAUUAAUUUU